rnacentral:lncRNA from 12 species
GAGAUUUCAAAUAACUUGCCACAGUAAUUACCUUGUCAUAAAACACCUUCAAUUCAAAACCAAACUAAGCAUCUGUGACUCCCAAGUCUAAGCUCCUUCCCUGUACAAUGCUCUGUCUUCUAACGCUAAGAUUUUCUAACAGCUACGUCACUGUAGAAAGUCUUUUCACAUGCAAAUUCUCACUGAAUCCUAGCAACCACAUUCUGAAAAGCUGUCUUACCUUCAUUUUAUAGGGAAACUAAAGCUCAGAGAAGGAACUUUCCUAAAGUCCACAGGAGUAUCACAUCUACACUCAGGUCCCCUGACUUCCAAAUCUGGAUUAUUACAAAGAAAUCCCAGGAUGGAAUUGUGAAGGGAUGUGUCUGCAGCCGGUGAGGAAGCCCAGGCACACAGAAUCCUGCAGACCUCCCCAGCCCCUCCGCAUCCACAGAGAGCACUCAGCUACCGCCGCCGCGUCCUGCCCACUCAGUCACCUCGGCUUCCCACAACCAAGUGCAGAAACAGGCCCGAGCUACAAGAGCUGAAUUAACAAGAACAAGCUGGCAGUUGGAGUGCCCGCUCUUGUCUCUGCCAUCUCAAGUUACUGACAUCUUAACCAACUUCCCAAACUCUUCUCAAGUGCAGUCUCCUCUACAGAGUCUUGAUCCUGGCCACCAGAGGUCACUUCUUCCUGCAACUGUGAUGUCAGGCCGCCUAGGAUCUAAUGCUGGCCCAGCACGUUCCUGACUGCGGGACCCUGGGCAGGUAAUUUGAACUCUAUGUGUCCAAAUUCCUCAUCUGGAAAAUGGGGAGAAUAAUGCAAACUCCCUCAUAGGGCUGUGAGAAUCAAAUAAUCCAAUUCAGGGAUCCCUGGGUGGCGCAGCGGUUUGGCGCCUGCCUUUGGCCCAGGGCGCGAUCCUGGAGACCCGGGAUCGAAUCCCACGUCGGGCUCCCGGUGCAUGGAGCCUACUUCUCCCUCUGCCUGUGUCUCUGCCUCUCUGUGUGUGUGUGUGUGUGACUAUCAUAAAUAAAUAAAAAUUAAAAAACA